GUAGUAUUCCCUCCAUCCCAAAAUUCUUGUCUUACAUUUUUUUAGAUACGGAUGUAUCUAACACUAAAAUGUAACUAGAUAUUUAGACAAAUUUAGGACAAGAAUUUUGGGACGGUGGGAGUAAAAA
rfam:Triticum urartu cultivar G1812 contig1112229, whole genome shotgun sequence.